UUGAACGCUGGCGGCAUGCCUUACACAUGCAAGUCGAACGGUAGAGGGGCAACCCUUGAGAGUGGCGAACGGGUGAGUAAUAUAUCGGAACGUGCCCAGUCGCGGGGGAUAACGCAGCGAAAGCUGCGCUAAUACCGCAUACGAUCUAUGGAUGAAAGCGGGGGAUCGCAAGACCUCGCGCGAUUGGAGCGGCCGAUAUCAGAUUAGGUAGUUGGUGGGGUAAAAGCCCACCAAGCCGACGAUCUGUAGCUG
rnacentral:rRNA from 1 species